UCCAGCCCUUCUUCACUUUCAGUCUGUACAUGGGUUUAGGUCUGAAGUGAGUCUCUUGUAGGCAGCAUAUAAUGGGUAUUGUUUUUCUUAUCCAUUCAGUCAUCUAGUGUCUUUUGAUUGGAAUUUUUUUUUCCAUUUAUAUUUAAAGUAAUUAUUGAUAGGUAUGUACUUAUUUGCUUUCCGGUUGUUUUUACAGUUUUUCUCUGUUCCUUUCUUUUUCUCUUGUUCUAUUCCUUCCUGGUAUGAUGGUUUUCUUUAGUGUUAUGCUUGGAUUCCAUUCUCUUUAUUUUUUUGUGUAUCUAUUAUAGGUUUUGGUUUGUGGUUACCAUUAUGUUCAUAUAUAACAUCUUACACAUAUAGCAGUUUAUAUUGAGUUAAUGGUCACUUAAAUUCAAACACAUUCUAAAAGCAUUAAAUUUUUAUUCCUCCUUCCACUUUUUAGGUAUGUGAUGUCAUAUUUACAUCUUUUAUUUUGUGUAUGCCUUGACUGAUUUUUGUGGAUGUAAUUGAUUUUACUGUUUUUGUGUUUCGACCUCUGUGCUGCUUUUAUAAAUGAUUAAUCUACCUUUGUUACAUGUUUGCUUUAUCUAUGGAAUUUUCUCCUUUCAUAAUUUUCUUCUGGUUGUUGCCUUUUAUUUCUAAUCAAAGAGUUCUGCUUGGGAUCCCUUGUAACUCUUCCUUCUGCCUCUUUCAACACCCAUAUUCCAUGCCCGUACAAGUACCACUUUAUUUUCUGACACUGUACUUUAGUUUGUGUUUCCUAGAGUUUGAUAUAAAUGUUCCCUUUUUUUGGAUGGUGUAGUGAUCUAGCUUCCUUCGCUCAGUAUAAUUUUGAACUUGACCCAUGUUGUAAUUUGUAUUAAUAAUUUGUUUCUCCUUUUUGUUGAGUAGUAUUCCAUUGUAUGCAUACACCAAAAUUGUUUAUCCAGUUACCUGUUUAUAGGCAUUUAGGUUGUUUCCAAUUUGGGGCUGUUACAAGUAAAGCAACUAACAAUGUUUGUAUCUUUUUAUUGACAUAUACUUUUAUUUCUUUUGGGUAAAUAGGUAAGAUGGAAUGGCUGGGAGAAUAUAUUUAACUUCUUAAGAAACUUUCAUACUGUUUUCCAAAAACGGUUUUCAAAGUGGUGGUACCAUUCUACAUUAUCAUCAGGAAUAUGUGAGAGUUUGAUUUUUACACAAAUUCAUCGACACUUGAUAUGGCCAUUCCUUUUAUUUAGCCAUUCAAAUAGAUGUGAAAUGGUGUUACAUUGUGGUUUUAAUUUGCAUUUCUUUAAGAGUGAUGAUGUUCAGCAUCUUUUCAUGUCCUUAAUUUUUUUUUUCAUCUGUAUAGCUCAAGUUUUUUUUUGCACAUUACUUUGGGAGUUCUUCAUAUUCUAAAUACGUGUUCUUUAUCAGAUACGUGAUUUCAUUCUCUUUUUUUGGGGGGGGGGUUAUCAUCAUUAGAUUUAUUUUUUUUCUUUAUUUUUAAAUUUACAUCCAAGCUAGUUAGCAUAUAGUGCAACAAUGACUUCAGGAGUAGAUUCUAAUGCCCCUUACCCGUUUAGCCCAUCUCCCCUCCCACAGCCCCUCCAGUAACCCUCUGUUUGUUCUCCCUAUUUAAGAGUCUCUUAUGUUUUGUCCCCCUCCCUGUUUUUAUAUUAUUUUUGCUUCCCUUCCCUUAUGUUCAUCUGCUCUGUAUCUUAAAGUCCUCAUAUGAGUGAAGUUAUAUAUUUGUCUUUCUCUGACUAAUUUCGUUUAGCAUAAUACCCUCUAAUUCCAUCCACAUAGUUGCAAAUGGCAAGAUUUCAUUCUUUUUGAUUGCCGAGUAAUACUCCAUCAUGUAUAUAUAUGACAUCUUCUUUGUCCAUUCAUCCAUCGAUGGACAUUUGGGCUCUUUCCAUACUUUGGCUGUUGUUGAUAGUGCUGCUGUAAACAUUGUGGUAUGUAUGCCCCUUUGAAACAGCAUACCUGUACCCCUUGGAUAAAUACCUAAUAGUGCAAUUGUUGGGUUGUAGGGUAGUUCUAUUUUUAAUUUUUUGAGGAACCUCCAUACUGUUUUCCAGGGUGGCUGCACCAGUUUGCAUUUCCACCAGCAGUGCAAACGAAAUCCUUUCUUCCACAUCCUUGCCAACAUCUGUUGUUGCCUGAGUUAGUGUUAGCUAUUCUGACAGGUGUGAGGUAUCUCAUUGUGGUUUUGAUUUGUAUUUCCCUGAUGAUGAGUAUAUUGAGCAUUUUUUCAUGUGUUUGUUGGCCAUUGGGAUGUUUUCUUUGGAGAAGUGUCUAUUAAUGUCUUUUGCUGAUGUCUUCACUGGAUUAUUUGUUUUUUGGGUGCGCCCCAUGAUAAGUUCUUUAUAGAUUUUGGAUACUAACCCUUUAUCUGAUAGGUCGUUUGCAAAUGUCUUCUCCCAUUUUGUCAGUUGCCUGUUAGUUUUGCUGAUUGUUUCCUUCCGCUGUGCAGAAACUUUUUAUUUUGAUGAGGUCCCAAUAGUUCAUUUUUGCUUUUGUUUCCCUUGCCUCCGGAGACGUGUUGAGUAAGAAGUUGCUGCGGCCAAGUUAUAGAGGUUUUUGCCGGCUUUCUCCUCCAGGAUUUUGAUGGCUUCCUGUCUUAGGUUUAGGUCUUUCAUCCAUUUUGAGUUUAUUUUUGUGUAUGGUGUAAGAAAGUGGUUUAGGUUCAUUUUUCUGCAUGUUGCUGUCCAGUUUUCCCAGCACCACUUGAUGAAGAGAUUGUCUUUAUUCCAUUGGAUAUUCUUUCCUGCGUUGUCAAAGAUUAGUUGGCCACAGGUUGGUGGGUCCAUUUCUGGGUUCUCUAUUCUGUUCCAUUGAUUUGAGUGUUUUUGUGCCAAUACCGUACUGUCUUGAUGAUUACAGCCUUGUAAUACAACUUGAAGUCCGGGAUUGUGAUGCCUCCUGCUUUGGUUUUCUUUUUCAAGAUUGCUUUGGCUAUUCGGAGUCUUUUCUGGUUCCAUACAAAUUUUAGGAUUGUUUCUUCUAGCUCUCUGAAGAAUGCUGGUGUUAUUUUGAUAGGGAUUGCAUUGAAUACGUAGAUUGCUUUGGGUGGUAUUGACAUUUUAACAAUAUUUGUUUUUCCUAUCUAGGAGCAUGGAAUAUUUUUCCUUUUUUUGUGUGUGUCUUUUUCAACUUCUUUCAUAAGCUUUCUAUAGUUUUCGGUGUAUAGAUUUUUCACCUCUUUGGUUAGAGUUAUUCCUGGGUAUUCUAUGGUUUUUGGUGCAAUUGUAAAUGGGAUCAAUGCCUUGAUUUCUCUUUCUGUUGCCACAUUAUUGGUGUAUAGGAAUGCAACUGAUUUCUGUGCAUUGAUUUUAUAUCCUGCAACAUUGCUGAAUUCAUGGAUUAGUUCUAGCAGUUUUUGGGUGGAAUCUUUUAGGUUUUCCAUAUAGAAUAUCAUGUCAUCUGCGAAGAGUGAAAAUUUGACCUCCUCCUGGCUGAUUUGGAUGCCUUUUAUGUCUUUGUGUUGUCUGAUUGCUGAGGCUAGGACUUCCAAUACUAUGUUGAAAAACAGUGGUGAGACUGGACAUCCCUGUCUUGUUCAUGACCUUAGGGGGAAAGCUCUCAGUUUUUCCCCAUUGAGGAUGAUAUUAGCAUUGGCUCGUUCAUAUAUGGCUUAUAUAAUCUCAAGGUAUGAUCCUUCUAUCCCUACUUUCUUGAGGGUUUUUUAUCUAGAAAGGAUACUGUAUUUUGUCAGAUGCUUUCUCUGCAUCUAUUGAGAGGAUCAUGUGGUUCUUGUCUUUUCUUUUAUUGAUAUGAUGUAUCACAUUGAUUGUUUUGCGGAUAUGGAACCAGCCCUGCAUCUUAGGUAUAAAUCCCACUUAGUCGUGGUGAAUAAUUUUUUUAAAUGUAUUGUUGGAUCUGGUUGGCUAGUAUCUUGUUGAGGAUUUUUGCAUCAUCAAGGAAAUUGGUCUAUAGUUCUCCUUUUUAGUGGGGUCUUUGGUUUUGGAAUCAAGGUAAUGCUGGCUUCAUAGAAUGAGUUUGGAAGUUUUCCUUCCAUUUUCAUUUUUUGGAACAAUGGAAUUCCUCUGGAAAGCCAUCUGGCCCUGGACUCUUGUUUUUUAGGAGAUUUUUCGUUACUAAUUCUAUAUCUUUACUGGUUAUGGGUCUGUUCAAAUUUUCUCUUUCUUCUUGUUUCAAUUUUGGUAGUUUAUAUGUUUCUAGAAAUUUGUCCAUUUCUUCCAGAUUUCCCAUUUUAUUGGUGUAAAAUUGCUUGUAAUAUUCUUAUUAUUGGUAUUUCUGCUGUGUUGGUUGUGAUCUCCUCUUUCAUUCUUGAUUUUAUUUGGGUCCUUUCCUUUAUCUUUUUGAUCAGACUGGCUGGGGUUUUAUCAGUUUUGUUAAUUCUUUCAAAAAACCAGCUUCUGGUUUCAUUCUGUUUUUUUUUUUUUUUUUUUUUUUUUUGGUUUUUUUGGUUUUGAUAGCAUUGAUUUCUGCUCUGAUCUUUAUUAUUUCCUGUGUUCUGGUUUUGGGUUUUAUUUGCUGUUACUUUUCCAGCUCUUUAAGGUCGUGAUUUCAUUCUCUUAAGUGAGAAUGAAAUUUUGCUCUUCGGAAGAGUGAAAGUUUUUAAUUUUGAUGUAAUCCCAGUCCAUCAAUUUAUUAAUGAACUGUGCUUUUUUUUCCCCCAUCAGAGUUUUAUAAUUUUAGGUUUUGGAUUUAGGGUUGUGAUCCAUUUUGACUUCACAUUUUGUAUAUGAUGCAAACUUUAGAUCAGAGUUCUCCCUUUCCUGCAACUCCCCCCCCCACCCCCCUUUCUAGGUGCUGGCAGUGGAAUAUACAUUUAUAUUCAUUCGUUUCAGCACUAUGUGAUCAAAAGACUCUUGAAUUAACUUUGAACCCUUAUUGAAAAUGUGUUGUCUAUGUAUGUAUGUGGGCCCUUGCCUGAUUUAUUGAUCUAGUUAUCUGUCAUCAUGCCAGUAGCUUCCUGUGUUCAUUCCUAUAGCUUUAUAAUAAGCCUUGAAAUUAGGUUGUGUUACUGUUCCAUAUCUGUUCUUUUUAAAAAGUUACAUAGACUAUUGUAGUUCCUUUGUUUGUCUGUAUGAAUUUUUAAAAUCAAUUUGUCACUUUCGAGUAAGAAACCUCAGUUCUUUAUUAGAAUCAUAGUGUAUCUGGAAGCUUGAAAUCAACCACAGGAAAAAGUCUGGAAAACCUCCAAAAGCAUGGAGGUUAAAGAACACCCUACUAAAGAAUGAAUGGGUCAGCCAGGCAAUUAGAGAAGAAAUGAAAAAAUACAUGGAAACAAAUGAAAAUGAAAAUACAACAAUCCAAACGCUUUGGGAUGCAGCGAAGGCAGUCCUGAGAGGAAAAUACAUUGCAAUCCAGGCCUAUCUCAAGAAACAAGAAAAAUCCCAAAUACAAAAUCUAACAGCACACCUAAAGGAAAUAGAAGCAGAACAGCAAAGACACCCCAAACCCAGCAGAAGAAGAGAAAUAAUAAGAUCAGAGCAGAAAUAAACAAUAUAGAAUCUAAAAAAACUGUAGAGCAGAUCAAUGAAACCAAGAGUUGGUUUUUUGAAAAAAUAAACAAAAUUGAUAAACCUCUAGCCAGGCUUCUCAAAAAGAAAAGGGAGAAGACCCAAAUAGAUAAAAUCAUGAAUGAACAUGGAAUUAUUACAACCAAUCCCUCAGAGAUACAAGCAAUUAUCAGGGAAUACUAUGAAAAAUUAUAUGCCAACAAACUGGACAACCUGGAAGAAAUGGACAAAUUCCUAAACACCCACACGCUUCCAAAACUCAAUCAGGAGGAAAUAGGAAGCUUGAACAGACCCAUAGCCAGUGAAGAAAUUGAAUCAGUCAUCAAAAAUCUCCCAACAAAUAAGAGUCCAGGACCAGAUGGCUUCCCAGGGGAGUUCUACCAGACAUUUAAAGCAGAGAUAAUACCUAUCCUUCUCAAGCUUUCCAAAAAAUAGAAAGGGAAGGAAAACUUCCAGACUCAUUCUAUGAAGCCAGCAUUACUUUGAUUCCUAAACCAGACAGAGACCCAGUAAAAAAAGAGAACUAUAGGCCAAUAUCCCUGAAGAAUAUGGAUGCAGAAAUUCUCAAUAAGAUACUAGCAAAUCAAAUUCAACAGCAUAUAAAAAGAAUUAUUCACCAUGAUCAAGUGGGAUUCAUUCCUGGGCUGCAGGGCUGGUUCAACAUUCGCAAAUCAAUCAAUGUGAUACAUCACAUUAAUAAAAGAAAAGAUAAGAACCAUAUGAUCCUGUCAAUCGAUGCAGAAAAGGCCUUUGACAAAAUUCAGCAACGUUUCUUAAUAAAAACCCUCGAGAAAGUCGGGAUAGAAGGAACAUAUUUAAGAUCAUAAAAGCCAUUUAUGAAAAUCCCACAGCUAACAUCAUCCUCAAUGGGGAAAAACUGAGAGCUUUUCCCCUGAGAUCAGGAACACGACAGGGAUGUCCACUCUCACCGCUGUUGUUUAACAUAGUGUUGGAAGUGCUAGCAUCAGCAAUCAGACAACAAAAGGAAAUCAAAGGCAUCAAAAUUGGCAAAGAUGAAGUUAAGCUUUCACUUUUUGCAGAUGACAUGAUACUUUACAUGGAAAAUCUGACAGACUCCACCAGAAGUCUGCUAGAACUGAUACAUGAAUUUAGCAAAGUUGCAGGAUACAAAAUCAAUGUCCAGAAAUCAGUUUCAUUCUUAUACACUAAUAAUGAAGCAACAGAAAGAAAGAAAAUAAAGAAAACAGAAAGAAAAAUAAAGAAACUGAUUCCAUUCACAAUUGCAUCAAGAAGCAUAAAAUACCUAGGAAUAAAUCUAACCAAAGAUGUAAAAGAUCUGUAUGCUGAAAACUAUAGAAAGCUUAUGAAGGAAAUUGAAGAAGACAUAAAGAAAUGGAAAAACAUUCCGUGCUCAUGGAUUGGAAGAAUAAAUAUUGUCAAAAUGUCAAUACUACCCAAAGCUAUCUAUACAUUCAAUGCAAUCCCAAUCAAAAUUGCACCAGCAUUCUUCUUGAAGCUAGAACAAGCAAUCCUAAAAUUCAUAUGGAACCACAAAAGGCCCUGAAUAGCCAAAGUAAUUUUGAAGAAGAAGACCAAAGCAGGAGGCAUCACAAUCCCAGACUUUAGCCUCUACUACAAAGCUGUAAUCCUCAAGACAGCAUGGUAUUGGCACAAAAACAGACACAUAGACCAAUGGAAUAGAAUAGAAACCCCAGAACUAGACCCACAAACGUAUGGCCAACUAAUCUUUGACAAAGCAGGAAAGAGCAUCCAAUGGAAAAAAGACAGUCUCUUUAACAAAUGGUGCUGGGAGAACUGGACAGCAACAUGCAGAAGGUUGAAACUAGACCACUUUCUCACACCAUUCACAAAAAUAAACUCAAAAUGGAUAAAGGACCUGAAUGUGAGACAGGAAACCAUCAAAACCCUAGAGGAGAAAGCAGGAAAAGACCUCUCUGACCUCAGCCGUAGCAAUUUCUUACUUGACACAUCCCCAAAGGCAAGGGAAUUAAAAGCAAAAAUGAACUACUGGGACCUUAUGAAGAUAAAAAGCUUCUGCACAGCAAACAACCAACAAAACUAAAAGGCAACCAACAGAAUGGGAAAAGAUAUUUGCAAAUGACAUAUCAGACAAAGGGCUAGUAUCCAAAAUCUAUAAAGAGCUCACCAAACUCCAUACCCGAAAAACAAAUAACCCAGUGAAGAAAUGGGCAGAAAACAUGAAUAGACACUUCUCUAAAGAAGACAUCUGGAUGGCCAACAGGCACAUGAAAAGAUGCUCAACGUCGCUCCUCAUCAGGGAAAUACGAAUCAAAACCACACUCAGAUAGCACCUCACGCCAGUCAGAGUGGCCAAAAUGAACAAAUCAGGAGACUAUAGAUGCUGGAGAGGAUGUGGAGAAAUGGGAACCCUCUUGCACUGUUGGUGGGAAUGCAAAUUGGUGCAGCCACUCUGGAAAACAGUGUGGAGGUUCCUCAAAAAAUUAAAAAUAGACCUACCCUA